UUUCCCCUUUCUUUCUCUUCAUUCACGAUCGUAGGUUUCUUUCCCCUUUCUUUUUUCUCUCUCUAGACUUACAUCAAACAGCUCUCUCCUCUCAUAAUUUUGGGUGCAAAUUCCUUCAAGAAAUUAGGGUUUACUUCAAGAAAUAAAGAGUUGGGCAAGGUGGUGGAGGCUUAGGGAGAAGGAGAGAUAGAGCGCGAGAGAGAAUGAGGAAGUGACAUUUGGAUCCCAAUCAAUGUGCUGUAAUGAGGAAGAGAUGUUUGUGUAUGUAUAACAAGUACAGUGCUUGUAUUGCUGUAAACAUAUAUUAAGUGGGAGGAGUGAAAUAAGAAGGCAGGGGACUGUAUAUUAAUUACAAUUUAUUGGCUGGUAUUGUUAAGAAAGGGUUGUUGUCAAUAUGGAUGAUUUGCAAGGCAACGAUGCCCAAAUGCAUAUGACUGAGGCUGAGCAACAAAUGCAUGUACAUUAUAUGCAUGACCAAAGUCAUGGGAUGCAUCAUAUGAAUAAUGGGAAUGUGAUGGAGGAUGAUCAUGGUGAUGGUGUUACGGGUGUAGGUGAAGGCAUUGAUGGGGAGCUCCAUAAUGACCCUGGAAAUGUUUCUGAUACCCAUGGUGGAAUGAUGGUGGCUAAUGGCAGGGGCGGAUCUAGGGGGGGUUCAAGGGGGUUCAUUGAACCCAUAGAUUUUUUGGAAAAAAAUUAUAAGUUUUAAUUUUUUUUUUAAAAAAAAAAGAAAAAGGGUUAAUACAAAUUUCUGUGAGAAUAAUAAUCACAUGGGUAAGUUUGGUGCAUUGGUAAGGCUUUGAAUAAUAGAGCAGCGCGCCCUUUUAAUGUCUUAGGUCUUAGGUUCGCCUCCUAUUGCCCUCUUUUUUUGUACUUUUUUUGUACUUUUUUUUUUUUGUUCUUUUACUCCUUACAUUCAAAUUUCAGAUUUCAGAAAUCAAACAUCGACAUUUCUUAUUUUCCCCAAAUUCCCAAACACCAAAACCCUAACCUUGACACCCUAUGACCCUAGCCAGUAGCCACUAGCCGCCGCGGCACCGCACACCGAGACACCAACCGGCGACCGGGAGCACUGACGACCUCACGGAGUGACGGAGACACGGACGAGGGACGACUGUUCUGAAUUCAGACUUCAGAGUUCUUCUACAAUUGGUCAGGUUUAUGUGUUUGAUUCAGUCUCACCUGAAAAGAUUUGUUCAGUGUUAUGGAUUCUUCGGUUGCUAAAGAUUAUACGGAUGUACCUGUGGAAAGGAUAAUGUUGGAUUAUUGCUGGAACAUACUGUUGACAACCUUGAUCCUCUUCAUAUUGUGAAUGUUGUGCCUGAUGGACUGGAAAUACCUAGGCUGAUAUCGUCAAUCUUUUGGUUAAGUACUACAAAGAAGCAAGGCAAGCGGUUUAUAUGAAUAACACAGAGGAUGAGGCUAGAACUAAGAGAGAUGGAAGAGUCCUUUGCAAAACCACCAGGUUUCAAAAACAUGGAUUUGAAGUCCAAGACUAGGGUCGGAGGCAGAUGUUGCAUAUGCUUUGAUCCUUUUUCCAUCCAAAAUGUUUCGGUUGUCAUUUUCUUUUGCUGUCAUGCAUAUCACAUGACUUGUUAUAUGGACUCAGUCAAUACAUAUAGUGAUGAGAAUGAAGCUCAGGAUGGUUCCCUUGAUUCUGAGUAUGAUGAAUUUGAUGACGAAGAGAAUGGUGAAAGUCAGUCAGACUCCUCUCGAA